rnacentral:rRNA from 1 species
AGAGUUUGAUCCUGGCUCAGGAUGAACGCUGGCGGCGUGCCUAACACAUGCAAGUCGAACGUGAGCCUGAUUUCGGUCAGGUGAAAGUGGCGAACGGGUGAGUAACACGUUGGUGACCUGCCCCGAACAGGGGGAUAACACCUCGAAAGAGGCGCUAAUACCCCGGAGGUCUGAACUAUUAGAGGGUUCAGACUAAAGCUGAGGCGGUUCGGGAGGGGCCUGCGGGCUAUCAGCUAGUUGGUGAGGUAAUGGCUCACCAAGGCGCAGACGGCUAGGGGGCGUGAGAGCGUGACCCCCCACAAGGGAACUGAGAAACGGUCCCUACUCCUACGGGAGGCAGCAGUGAGGAAUAUUGAGCAAUGGGCGCAAGCCUGACUCAGCAACGCCGCGUGGACGAUGACGGCCUUCGGGUUGUAAAGUCCUUUUCUGGAGGACGAUGAUGACGGUACUCCAGGAACAAGUCCCGGCUAACUACGUGCCAGCAGCCGCGGUAAAACGUAGGGGGCGAGCGUUAUCCGGAUUUACUGGGCGUAAAGCGCAUGUAGGCGGUGGGAUAAGUUGGACGUGAAAGCUCCCGGCUUAACUGGGAGAGGUCGUUCAAAACUAUCCGACUGGAGGUUGGAAGAGGAGAGUGGAAUUCCCGGUGUAGUGGUGGAAUGCGUAGAGAUCGGGAGGAACACCAGUGGCGAAAGCGGCUCUCUGGACCAAACCUGACGCUGAGAUGCGAAAGCGUGGGGAGCAAACGGGAUUAGAUACCCCGGUAGUCCACGCUGUAAACGAUGGAGACUAGGUGUCGGCGGUCAUUUACCCCGUCGGUGCCGCAGCUAACGCGUUAAGUCUCCCGCCUGGGGACUACGGCCGCAAGGUUAAAACUCAAAGGAAUUGAUGG